UUGACCUCGAAUCAGGUAGGAAUACCCGCUGAACUUAAGCAUAUCAAUAAGCGGAGGAAAAGAAACCAACAGGGAUUGCCCCAGUAACGGCGAGUGAAGCGGCAACAGCUCAAAUUUGAAAUCUGGUCCCUUGGGGCCCGAGUUGUAAUUUGCAGAGGAUACUUUUGGCGAGGCGCCUUCCGAGUUCCCUGGAACGGGACGCCAUAGAGGGUGAGAGCCCCGUCUGGUUGGAUGCCGAGCCUCUGUAAAGUUCCUUCGACGAGUCGAGUAGUUUGGGAAUGCUGCUCUAAAUGGGAGGUAUAUGUCUUCUAAAGCUAAAUAUAGGCCAGAGACCGAUAGCGCACAAGUAGAGUGAUCGAAAGAUGAAAAGCACUUUGGAAAGAGGGUUAAAAAGCACGUGAAAUUGUUGAAAGGGAAGCGCUUGUGACCAGACGUGGGCCUGUCGGAUCAUCCAGCGUUCUCGCUGGUGCACUCCGGCGGGCUCAGGCCAGCAUCAGCUCGUCCCGGGGGACAAAGGCAGCGGGAAUGUGGCUCCUUCGGGAGUGUUAUAGCCCGCUGUGUAAUGCCCUGGGGCGGGCUGAGGUUCGCGCAUCUGCAU
rnacentral:rRNA from 2 species